rfam:Hordeum vulgare subsp. vulgare, WGS project CAJW01000000 data, contig: morex_contig_39999
AAGGUUGAUGAGGAGGAUUGCGUCUCCAACAUCCUUGCCGGACUCGAUGAGGAGUUCGACCCAGUGGUCUCGGCCAUGUGCUCCAGGGUCGAGACGGUCACGGUUUCGGAGCUGUACUCACAACUAUUGAGCUUCGAGA